UAUCUAACCCAUGGUUUUCCUUUCUUCUCUUAGAGUACAUAUUUCCUGUUCUCCGUUGACAUUUCCCAUAUUCUGCCUGGUGUUGUGACUUAACUGUUCAUGUUUUCUUCCUUCACAUCCCAACAAGAUGCAAAUGUGCUUCCACAGAAUUUAGUACAACACUCUAAAUAUAGUAUAUAUCAAUCAAUGUUCGUUGGGCUAAUAAAAAUUUAUUUAACAUGAAACUCAGAAAAGGCCAUAUUUGCACUCUACACUGCAAGUCUAUUGCCUUCACCACAAAUUUGUAUUUUGGAACUACUCUUUUCAGAGGCACAUGCUAAAUGCUUUUGAUAUGGAGCGGUAUGGAAUGUGCCCCCUGCUCUCAGAAUGCAAUCUGGAAUAAAGAUUUGUCCAUCUAUCUCUCUCUCCACUGACAUAGAUCUGUAUACAUGCAUGCCAUAAUACAACUUUCAAAUGAAUGGGACACAGAAUAGAAGGUAGCACAGAGCGCAGAUUUUGAAGGCAAACAGACCUGAACUGGACUUCUGGUGCCUCCAAUCAUUGCAAUGACCUUGCAUGAUUUAUUUAGUCUGCUUUUAUUUAUUAUUUAUUUUUCUCUUAGUCUGUUUCCUCAUCCAUAAAUGGGGUGAUAACACAUAAUAAAGUUGUUCUGAGAAUUAAAAGGGAUAUUGUAAAUGAAGUGCUUAAUGCAGUGGUUGGCACGUAGUUAGAUACUCUUGUUUUUACUAAGAAGUGUUUUGGGAGUUUGAAGAAAAUGAAGAUUGUUGUGUGCUGGAGACAGUCAGGGGUUUUCACAGGGAAAGGGGACGACUUGAAUUAGAUGAGUGGUGAGGAGGCUCAAGGGAAUGUUAAGGAGAAGGGAGUACAUAAGCAAACGUAACACACUUUGAGAGAAUGUUCUCUGACAGUGAGUUUUCAGAGGGAAAAGCCAGGAAAAGUUUUUCUAAAUAUCCAUGGGUUGCUAUUUAUAGAAAAUACAAAAUCAUAAAAAAAAUUCAGCCAUAAUAAGAAAUGUUUCCUAAAAAUCUCUUUUAAAUUAUUUGCAUUUAUCAUUGUAUUACAUUUUUUAAAUUAAAUUCUCAAGAAUUUGUGAAACCUGAUAUAAUAUCUUUUCAUAUAGGCUAAUUCUUAUUUCAUCAGUCAGGUCAUAAUUUUUUAUUUUUUCCUAAGAUUUCUCUCUAUAAAAGAUUAAAAAAACACAAUAAGGGGAUUCUUGGGUGGAGAGUAUGAAGAUCCUUGGGGUUUCUGGAUUUGCACAAAGGCCUUAUGAGUUUUCAUGAAGCAAUGUCUCUGUAUUUACCACAAAUGUUUCUUGAGUAAUCCAUUUAAAACAAACCAACAAAAACUGUCCUCCAUUGCUGUCAGUAAACUUUAUCCCAAACUCCUGCACUGUCCCAAAGCAGCACACAUUUUAGCUAAAGCAGCAUGCUGUCAAUAUUAUGGACUGUGCAGAGCAAGACUACACAAGUUCAAAUCCUGACUCUGCUCCUCCCUAGCUAUGUGAUCUUGAGCAAGCUAUCUAACCUGUGCUUCAUUUCCCCAUUUGUAAAAUGGAGAUAAUAAUAAUACCUACCUCACAGGGCCAUUUGGGGGGUUAAAUGGGUUAAUAUUUGUGAAGUUAACAUAUUUGUAAAAUUUAAUGUUUGUAAAAUUAUUACAGAAUAUUGCAAAUAUUUUAAAUACUGCCUAACACACUAGAGUAAGCACUACACACACAUACACACACACACACACUUGUUAAAUAUAUAAAAUUAUUGAAGAAAAAUAGCCUUAUACAAGGUGAGGAGUCAAUUCCUCCUCCCCCAAAUACGCAUACACAUACUCAAUCACAAGGUAAUGCGGAGGGCAGCCUCACUUUGUGGAUUAUGCAAGUUAUCUUGUAGGUAGUGGAAUUAAUUGGGAAGGGUAAAAGUUUUCCAAGAAAUCCCCUUAGUUCUGUGCUGUUUUCUCUAAUGAGUCAGAAAAAAGUCCCUCUCUCUCUCCCACCAUUCAAGGUUGCAGUCUGCCUCCCAGAAUUAUACAUGGACACUCUAAAGUUGUUAGUAGAUUAAUAUCAUUCCAUACUGAGGUGAAGUAUGAAUGUGAUGAAGGAUAUGAGCUGGUUGGAGAGGCUAAAAUCUCCAGCAUGUUUUCAAAAUAGUCAUCGCUGGCUCCUCAAUGUAAAGGAGAAAACUGAGGCAAGGAGAGAAGUCCUGUACUUCAGAGGCAAAUAGCUCAGAAUCUGGAAUUAGAUACCCCUAGGUUCACAGCCAGCUCUGCCACUUAAAAGUGGUAUAACUUGGGGCAAGGCGUUUAGCCUUUUUGUGCCUGAGCUGCCUCAUCUCUUCAAUGGGGAUAACCAUAAUACCUCUCUUAAAGGGCUGUUGAAGACUUACAUGAGCUCUGUGCCUAAAACCCAAAAUACCAAAUGGACGGCUAUCUGUGGAGAAGGACCAGUAUGUCAACUCUGAAACUGUCACUGUCCAGUGCAACCCUGGCUACACUUUGGUUGGCUCCCAGAAAAUCUUUUGCUCAGAGAAGAAAUCUUGGAGCCCAGAUGUACCCACGUGUGAGAGGGAAGUCCCUGAAUAUCAUGGAAUAAUCCUGUCUGGCAGAAACCUCUUACGGUGUCUCCCAAAUUCUCAGGAUACAAAAUUGGCCCUGGAGUUAAAUAAAGUAUCUGUGGAGAUUGAAAAUCUGGAGCAAGAGAGAGACAAGGAGAAGAAAACCAUUUAAAUACACUGCACCUCUUUUCCCAAGAAGAUAGAGAAAAGAUUUGCUUUUCUGUACACUCUAUAGAGAAAACCUAGUGUAUUAACUCCACUUGAGCAUCAUCAUUCAUUGCAAUAAACAACUUUUGCAACCUUGCUAAUAUGUGUAGUGCUCCUGGGAAUGUGGAACUACUGAUAAUUUAUACGAUUAUCACUCAGCUUAAGUUUUUACCUUUCUUAAUUUAGCCAGCUGGCUGAAGUAAAUAAUUACCUAUUAAAAAUCAGAUUGUCCCAAUCUUCAUUUGGAUACCUAUGCCUAUAAUAUGAGUGCCCUGCACAUGUCCACUUCCUAAAGUUAGAAUUUCUGUUUGGGGUAAUGCCAGCAAAAUGCUGGAAUAAGAUGGGCCAGUGAACAUCCCUUCUUGGAAACAGAGAAAAAUGGACAGAAUCAAGUUUCUCAAAACUCUGGAAGAUGAGUGAGAGUAGAUAACAACUCAACAAAUGCAAAAUCAGGAACAAAACAACUAAAAAUGUCCCCUAACCCAGAA